GACGAACGCUGGCGGCGUGCUUAACACAUGCAAGUCGAACGGAAAGGCCCUGCUUUUGUGGGGUGCUCGAGUGGCGAACGGGUGAGUAACACGUGAGUAACCUGCCCUUAGCUUUGGGAUAACUUCAGGAAACUGGGGCUAAUACCGGAUAGGAGCUCCUGCUGCAUGGUGGGGGUUGGAAAGUUUCGGCGGUUGGGGAUGGACUCGCGGCUUAUCAGCUUGUUGGUGGGGUAGUGGCUUACCAAGGCUUUGACGGGUAGCCGGCCUGAGAGGGUGACCGGCCACAUUGGGACUGAGAUACGGCCCAGACUCCUACGGGAGGCAGCAGUGGGGAAUAUUGCACAAUGGGCGGAAGCCUGAUGCAGCAACGCCGCGUGCGGGAUGACGGCCUUCGGGUUGUAAACCGCUUUCGCCUGUGACGAAGCGUGAGUGACGGUAAUGGGUAAAGAAGCACCGGCUAACUACGUG
rnacentral:rRNA from 1 species